CCUACGGGAGGCAGCAGUAAGGAAUAUUGGUCAAUGGACGAAAGUCUGAACCAGCCAUGCCGCGUGAAGGAUGAAGGCCCUCUGGGUUGUAAACUUCUUUUAUCUGGGACGAAAAAAGGGAAUUCUUUCCCACUUGACGGUACCAGAGGAAUAAGCACCGGCUAACUCCGUGCCAGCAGCCGCGGUAAUACGGAGGGUGCAAGCGUUAUCCGGAUUUACUGGGUUUAAAGGGUGCGUAGGUGGGUAGGUAAGUCAGUGGUGAAAUCUCCGAGCUUAACCCGGAAACUGCCAUUGAUACUAUCUAUCUUGAAUAUCCUGGAGGUGAGCGGAAUAUGUCAUGUAGCGGUGAAAUGCUUAGAUAUGACAUAGAACACCAAUUGCGAAGGCAGCUCACUACGGGAUUAUUGACACUGAGGCACGAAAGCUGGGGAUCAAACAGGAUUAGAUACCCUGGUAAGUCCACGCCCUAAACGAUGGAUACUCGACAUACGCGAUACACUGUGUGUGUNUGAGAGAAGACAUUAAGUAAUACCACCUACGGAAGGUACGAGUCGCGAAGAAGUUAGUAACGUAACGAAAGAAAGUUAGUACGGACGUGAGACGUACGACCGAACGGACGACGACGAGGGGAGGAGGGAG
rnacentral:rRNA from 1 species